CGAUUAACUCAGCGGGAGAGUGCCAUCCUCACACGGUGGAAGUCACUGGUUCGAAUCCAGUACCGCCCACCA
rnacentral:tRNA from 1 species